UCUCAUAGACGAGCAAAGGUAGUGGUUUUUGAGAUGGAAUCUACUCACAGUGAAGAUGCUGUGAA
rnacentral:pre_miRNA from 1 species